rnacentral:rRNA from 1 species
GCACGAAUGGCAUAAUGAUGGCAGCGCUGUCUCCAGCAGAGACUCAGUGAAAUCGAAAUCGCAGUGAAGAUGCUGUGUACCCGCGGCUAGACGGUAAGACCCCGUGAACCUUUACUACAGCUUUACAUUGAACUUUGACCUGACUUGUGCAGGAUAGGUGGGAGGCUAUGAAGCAGAUACGCCAGUAUUUGUGGAGUCAACCUUGAAAUACCACCCUGGUCAUGUUGGGGUUCUAACUUAGAUAUUCACAAUAUCGAGGACAAUGUAUGGUGGGUAGUUUGACUGGGGCGGUCUCCUCCUAAAGAGUAACGGAGGAGUACGAAGGUGCGCUCAGAACGGUCGGAAAUCGUUCAAAGAGUAUAAAGGCAAAAGCGCGCUUAACUGCGAGACCCACAAGUCGAGCAGGUACGAAAGUAGGUCUUAGUGAUCCGGUGGUUCUGUAUGGAAGGGCCAUCGCUCAACGG